UGGGCUACGCCAAGGUAGGCAGAUAAGUUUCUUGCUAAACUUAUCCACGCUGGUUCAAUUCCAGCUAGCUCAACCA
rnacentral:tRNA from 1 species